rnacentral:rRNA from 1 species
UGGGGAAUAUUGCACAAUGGGCGCAAGCCUGAUGCAGCCAUGCCGCGUGUAUGAAGAAGGCCUUCGGGUUGUAAAGUACUUUCAGCGGGGAGGAAGGGAGUAAAGUUAAUACCUUUGCUCAUUGACGUUAGCCGCAGAAGAAGCACCGGCUAACUCCGUGCCAGCAGCCGCGGUAAUACGGAGGGUGCAAGCGUUAAUCGGAAUUACUGGGCGUAAAGCGCACGCAGGCGGUUUGUUAAGUCAGAUGUGAAAUCCCCGGGCUCAACCUGGGAACUGCAUCUGAUACUGGCAAGCUUGAGUCUCGUAGAGGGGGGUAGAAUUCCAGGUGUAGCGGUGAAAUGCGUAGAGAUCUGGAGGAAUACCGGUGGCGAAGGCGGCCCCCUGGACGAAGACUGACGCUCAGGUGCGAAAGCGUGGGGAGCAAACAGG